rnacentral:rRNA from 1 species
AAUAAGCGGAGGAAAAGAACUAACAAGGAUUCCCCUAGUAACUGCGAGUGAAGCGGGAAAAGCUCAAAUUUAAAAUCUGGCGGCUUAUAGUCGUCCGAGUUGUAGUCUGGAGAAGUGCUUUCCGCGCUGGACCGUGUACAAGUCCCUUGGAACAGGGCGUCAUAGAGGGUGAGAAUCCCGUCUUUGACACGGACUACCAGUGCUUUGUGAUGCGCUCUCAAAGAGUCGAGUUGUUUGGGAAUGCAGCUCAAAAUGGGUGGUAAAUUCCAUCUAAAGCUAAAUACAGGCGAGAGACCGAUAGCGAACAAGUACCGUGAGGGAAAGAUGAAAAGCACUUUGGAAAGAGAGUUAAACAGUACGUGAAAUUGCUGAAAGGGAAACGAUUGAAGUCAGUCGCGUUGUCUGGAAGUCAGCCUUGCAAUUUUGUUUGGUGUAUUUUUCAGAUUGACGGGCCAGCAUCGAUUUUGACCGUUGGAUAAAGAUGAGGGGAAUGUGGCACCUUCGGGUGUGUUAUAGCCCCUUGUCACAUACAACGGUUGGGAUCGAGGAACUCAGCACGCCUUUAUUGGUCGGGGUUCGCCCACGUUCGUGCUUAGGAUGCUGGCAUAAUGGCUUUAAACGACCCGUCUUGAAACACGGACCAAGGAGUCUAACAUACCUGCGAGUGUUUGGGUGGUAAACCCGAGCGCGUAAUUAAAGUAAAAGUUGAGAUCCCCGUUACAAGGGAGCAUCGACGCCCGGACUUGACCUUCUGUGAUAGCUCUGCGGUAGAGCAUGUAUGUUGGGACCCGAAAGAUGGUGAACUAUGCCUGAAUAGGGUGAAGCCAGAGGAAACUCUGGUGGAGGCUCGUAGCGAUUCUGACGUGCAAAUCGAUCGUCAAAUUUGGGUAUAGGGGCGAAAGACUAAUCGAACCAUCUAGUAGCUGGUUCCUGCC